GCCCCUGUAGCUCAGUCGGCAGAGCGCUUCCAUGGUAAGGAAGAGGUCACCGGUUCAAGUCCGGUCGGGGGCUC
rnacentral:tRNA from 1 species